GGGCUGGUAGCUCAGCCUGGAAGACCGCAUAGCGGCCAGAGAGCGCUCGGUUCGCAUCCGAGAGGUCGCGGGUUCAAACCCCGCCCAGUCCA
rnacentral:tRNA from 2 species